rnacentral:rRNA from 1 species
AUUGAACGCUGGCGGCAGGCCUAACACAUGCAAGUCGAACGGCAGCACAGAAGAGCUUGCUCUUUGGGUGGCGAGUGGCGGACGGGUGAGUAAUGUCUGGGAAACUGCCCGAUGGAGGGGGAUAACUACUGGAAACGGUAGCUAAUACCGCAUAACGUCGCAAGACCAAAGUGGGGGACCUUCGGGCCUCACACCAUCGGAUAUGCCCAGAUGGGAUUAGCUAGUAGGUGGGGUAAUGGCUCACCUAGGCGACGAUCCCUAGCUGGUCUGAGAGGAUGACCAGCCACACUGGAACUGAGACACGGUCCAGACUCCUACGGGAGGCAGCAGUGGGGAAUAUUGCACAAUGGGCGCAAGCCUGAUGCAGCCAUGCCGCGUGUAUGAAGAAGGCCUUCGGGUUGUAAAGUACUUUCAGCGGGGAGGAAGGCGGUGAGGUUAAUAACCUUGCCGAUUGACGUUACCCGCAGAAGAAGCACCGGCUAACUCCGUGCCAGCCGCCGCCGUAA